CGUCGCCACGGUAAUACGGAGGGUGCAAGCGUUAAUCGGAAUUACUGGGCGUAAAGCGCACGUGGGCGGCUUGGUAAGUUAGAGGUGAAAGCCCGGAGCUCAACUCCGGAAUUGCCUUUAAGACUGCCGAGCUAGUAGGUGAGAGAGGUAAGUGGAAUUCCGAGUGUAGAGGUGAAAUUCGUAGAUAUUCGGAAGAACACCAGUGGCGAAGGCGGCUUACUGGCUCAUUCUAGACGCUGAGGUGCGAAAGCGUGGGGAGCAAACAGGAUUAGAUACCCGCGUAGUCCCUGUCUCUUAUACA
rnacentral:rRNA from 1 species